AGCAGCCGCGGUAAUUCCAGCUCCAAUAGCGUAUAUUAAAGUUGUUGCAGUUAAAAAGCUCGUAGUUGAAUUUCGGGAUUAGUACGCUGGUCAUGCCUUCGGUAUGUACUGGUGUUACUGAUUCCUACCUUCUGACGAACUGUCAUGUCAUUCAUUUGGUGUGGCGGGGAAUCAGGACUGUUACUUUGAAAAAAUUAGAGUGUUUAAAGCAGGCUCGCGCUUGAAUACAUUAGCAUGGAAUAAUGAAAUAGGACGUUCGAUCCUAUUUUGUUGGUUUCUAGGAUUGACGUAAUGAUUAAUAGGGAUAGUUGGGGGCAUUAGUAUUCAAUUGUCAGAGGUGAAAUUCUUGGAUUUAUUGAAGACUAACUACUGCGAAAGCAUUUGCCAAGGAUGUUUUCAUUAAUCAAGAACGAAAGUUAGGGGAUCGAAGACGAUCAGAUACCGUCGUAG
rnacentral:rRNA from 1 species